UAAAAUNGCAGUUGAUACUGUCAGUCUGNAGUACAGUAGAGUGGGGCGGAAUUCGUGGUGUAGCGGUGAAAUGCUUAGAUAUCACGAAGAACUCCGAUUGCGAAGGCAGCUCACUGGACUGCAACUGACACUGAUGCUCGAAAGUGUGGGUAUCAAACAGGAUUAGAUACCCUGGUAGUCCACACAGUAAACGAUGAAUACUCGCUGUUUGCGAUAUACAGUAAGCGGCCAAGCGAAAGCAUUAAGUAUUCCACCUGGGGAGUACGCCGGCAACGGUGAAACUCAAAGGAAUUGACGGGGGCCCGCACAAGCGGAGGAACAUGUGGUUUAAUUCGAUGAUACGCGAGGAACCUUACCCGGGCUUAAAUUGCAGUGGAAUGAUGUGGAAACAUGUCAGUGAGCAAUCACCGCUGUGAAGGUGCUGCAUGGUUGUCGUCAGCUCGUGCCGUGAGGUGUCGGCUUAAGUGCCAUAACGAGCGCAACCCUUAUCUUCAGUUACUAACAGGUCAUGCUGAGGACUCUGGAGAGACUGCCGUCGUAAGAUGUGAGGAAGGUGGGGAUGACGUCAAAUCAGCACGGCCCUUACGUCCGGGGCUACACACGUGUUACAAUGGGGGGUACAGAAGGCAGCUAGCGGGUGACCGUAUGCUAAUCCCAAAAGCCUCUCUCAGUUCGGAUCGAAGUCUGCAACCCGACUUCGUGAAGCUGGAUUCGCUAGUAAUCGCGCAUCAGCCACGGCGCGGUGAAUACGUUCCCGGGCCUUGUACACACCGCCCGUCAAGCCAUGGGAGCCGGGGGUACCUGAAGUACGUAACCGCAAGGAUCGUCCUAGGGUAAAACUGGUGACUGGGGCUAAGUCGUAACAAAGGUAGCCGUAGCC
rnacentral:rRNA from 1 species